CUUGCAAGGAAUUAGCUGGUUGGUCCCUAAUUUUUAGUUGCUUAGUUUCCUAAAUUUAGUUUGGCUUUGUGUUCUUCUUUCUGAUAUUCAUUUUGAUAGCCAUAAAACACACUUUGUCUCUUUGUUGCUCUGAGUUUCUACAAAGACUUUAAAAAUCAAGUGGUGUCUGGAUCCAUUGGAGGAAAUGCCCCUGAGGGCCAGGGCUUGGGGCACAGCCACUGGUCUGGAGCUCACAGCCUCCUUCUCCCUGCAGAUGUCCUUCGGUCUUCUCCGUGUGUUCUCCAUUGUGAUCCCCUUUCUCUAUGUUGGGACACUCAUUAGCAAGAACUUCGCGGCUCUACUUGAGGAGCAUGACAUUUUUGUCCCAGAGGACGAUGACGAUGACGAUUAACAGGUAAUAUCGCCCUUCUUGUAAGUGGACAGGCACAGGUAGGCCGAUUGUCUAGUCUGUGACAGUCUGUGACAGUCUGUGACAGUCUGUCCUUCACACAGCAGCAUUUGGAUCCUCAGGGCAGCUGUGGGUUCACCCACUUGAGACUUACUUUCUCCCAUGUUGGAUGACUUAGAGAUCCACUAGGAUAAGGUCUUUGAUGGCCUUUUCAGUGUUCUUGAUGUACCUCAGUCAACUGACAUUCUCUUGGUGACUUAUGUGCUUUUAUACCUUAUGAAGUCAUGUAAUCUCUGCCUCAGAGAUGAAGGUAUAAAACAGAAUUAUGAAGGAGGGUAAAAAAAGGGAAUGCAGAAGGCACCAGUAAGAAGGGGAUGGGGAAAGGAGUGUCCCAGGGUGGCAUCCCACAGGAACUCACACUUCCUACUUUAUAGUUAAAUCU
rnacentral:lncRNA from 1 species